CACGUAGGGUGCGAGCGUUGUCCGGAAUUAUUGGGCGUAAAGAGCUCGUAGGCGGUGUGUCGCGUCGGCCGUGAAAACCUGCAGCUUAACUGUGGGCGUGCGGUCGAUACGGGCAUCACUGGAGUUCGGCAGGGGAGACUGGAAUUCCUGGUGUAGCGGUGAAAUGCGCAGAUAUCAGGAGGAACACCGGUGGCGAGGGCGGGUCUCUGGGCCGAUACUGACGCUGAGGAGCGAAAGCGUGGGGAGCGAACAGG
rnacentral:rRNA from 1 species